CGACCAGCUAAACCCGUACGGCUGGCUGUGUCUGUGUGCGUGCGUCAUCAAAUGAAAACGUCAAAAUUUCGAUUUGUUUACAUACGCGUACGGGAUGCGUACGGGGCAAGUUCGGACUCAUUUCUUUUAAACUUUUCGCACGUACUCUCUUAUCAGUAAAGCAUGCUAUCUACUGUAAGGGUGGUAAGCUACGGCCGAGCAAGAUACAGAAAUCGGACACCACUUGCUACGAGUGGGCACAUAACAAAUUCUUCAACAAAUUCGAAGCGCGGGGCUAGACAACGACAUCCGUGGCACGAACCUUUACCGGUUUCCCCAAUUUCUUGGCUUCACGGAUGACAUCGACAUCAUCGGCAGGACAACAGUGAAGGUGUGUGAGGCGUACACCCGACUCAAACGCAAAGCAGCAAGAAUUGGAUUGAGAAUCAAUGCAACGAAGUAGCUGCUUGCCGGUGACUCAGACCAUCUGGGAAGCAGUGUAUUAGUUGACGGCGACAAUCUCGAGGUAGUAAAGGAGUUCUGCUAGCUCGGGACGGUCGUUACUUCGGACAACGACUUCAGCAGCAUACAUCCGGAGACGCAUUGUGCAGGGGAACCGUACAUGCUAUGGGCUUCACCGACCGGUGGUUCUCUACGGACACGAGUAUUGGACCAUCCGAGCGGAGGAUGCAAACGCUCUGGGUGUGUUUUGAGCCACACAUCCUCUGGUGCAUCUUUGGCGGUGUGUUCGAGUAUGGAGCGUGGAGGAGAGGGAUGAACCACGAGCUUGCUGAGCUGUACGGCGAACCGAGCAUCCCAACGGUGGCCAAGGCUGGGGCAUGUUAUGAGGAUGCCACACUUAUGCCCCAUCAAUAAGGUGUUCGACAGCGAUCCCCAUAUCAGCAUACGGCGCAGAGGAGCACAGCGAACUCGAUGGCUGAAUCAGGUGAAACGAGACCUGUCGAAGAUCGGGUGUCUACAUGGAUGGGAGGCUGCAGCCAGGGACCGAGCAUUCUGAAGAAUGAUUGUUGACCGGUCCAUGUCACACCGACGUGCUCUAUCGUGAGCAAGCCAGCAAGAGAGAUAGAGAGCUACGGCCGAGCAAGAUACAGAAAUCGGACACCACUUGCUACGAGGGAGCUCAUGAACACCAACUACUGCACAAGAUGCUUCCCAACUUUGUUAUGCUUUCACAACGCCAAUAGAACGAGAAGAAAAAAAGAAAAUUUGCUGAAGAACUGACUUAAUGUUCAGCGACAAAAAGUACGAGAUCCGGCCAAUGAGAGACAUCAGAGUUUCGAGUGGUUGCGAGUAGCUGCGACUGUCCGCACUCAGCACCGGCUGCCCGUCGACACCGGGCGUACCGUCGAAGUUCGUCUCGAGCAGCGCUUCCGAUUUGGACCGUGCGUAGUUCGACCGCGACCCGCCGGCCGGUGGCAUCGAUGGCGCUGGGUCCAGCUGUUCGCCGGACGAUUCGUACAGUGUCUUGGGCCGCUGCUGCUGCUGGCUGUCGGUGCGUGGCGGUGGCAGUAUGGAGUCACGCUCCCGGCCCGGUGUGGCGUACUUCUUGACCGCCUUGAUGUACGAAUCCGGCCGGCGCAUCUGCUCCGGCUCGGGCGGUGCUGGCCGGCGCACCUGUAUCGACGGUUGCUGGUACACGUGACCCAUCGGUGGGACGACUGGCGGCGCUGGCCUUGCCGGUGGGCUUCGCUGCACACUGUACGGGAUGGCGGCACCGUUCACACCGCCGACCAGUGAUUCGGUUUGCGAGCUGCGGGCAGGCUGAAAGCUGCUGUGGCUGACGGAAGCGGUCGGCGGUUCGUAUUCGGGCAGAUGCUGCUUCAGCUCGUGCAGGAAGGAAAGCUUGUCCUGCACGCGCAUUGGCAGUGUGCUCGAGUUGCCGUAGUAGUCGGAGCCGGUCUCUUCCAGCAUCUCCUCCUCGCCGCCCGGCGCAUGGAUGAUGGGCGACUCCUCGUUGAUGGCAGUGCUGAGCGAGUUUUGGCGCGUCACGCCCGAGUAGGUGGUGGACGUGUCCCGGAAGCCUUCGUUGCGGAAGGCAAGCUCCAGCGCGAUGCUACCCCCGUGGCUGCUGUACUCGGGCAAACCGUACACUUUGGUUUUGGCCGGGGCGGCACCGUUCGCCUGGCUCGCCUGGAUGUACUCCGAUGGGGCGCCGUUGCUUUCGCUGUAACCGAGCUGGCUUUUCAGCUGCUCGGCGUACUCGUUGCUGUACUGCUGCUUCUGCUUUUGAUCGUACACGUCGUAGCUGGUUUCGGUGCUGAGCACGCUCUUGUCGACGGACUCGAUCGAACCGUUCGAGGCCAUCCGUUUGUAGUCGUUCGUUGUGGCUGUUCGCAGUGUGUCGGUCGAUCGUGACAUUGCCUGGUAGAGAAACGGGGAGAGGUGCAAAAGCACAGAUAAAGUAUAAGAAAUGUUGAGCAAUUAUAGGCAUUUUAAACCUCCUAAUGGGGAAACAAACGAACAAGCAAAACAGUAAAAACACGCGCAAACAUUCCAUAAUAACAGCAAAGCCGUAAGACGAACAACAUUUGCACAGCAAAACACAAAACCAUUCACUUACGACAAACGUUAAACUGCUGUUGGCUACACCACCGUUUGAGCAAAAACAAAAAUGAGUUUAGUGAUAUAAAUUAGCAUUCUUAGACGUCCACACACCGACCAUGAAUUGUCUUAAAGUGGCUGAAAAUCCCCACAACACUGCUCCCGGCACGAUAAAGCACUACUUACAUAAUUUCUUCUGCGAAGCGACCCCUGCGGAUCAAUACUGUUCAGGCUGCGCAUGCUCUGGCGAAUGCUGUUGCGUCGCUGCAGCCGUUGCGCCUGGCGGUAGCGUGACUUCUGGCACCAGCAAACACACACGAUGCAGAUCAGCACAAUGACCAGCGCCAGCGCGACAAUGAUUCCGAUCACCUCGAUGCUGGCCGUCCAGUGCAGUGGAUCAAUCUCCACCUGGAAAGCGAAAGGAAGAGUUCAGUUAGCUUUGGAUCCUUUUUUGCUUAAACGCUGCUGCCAUCCCAUCCCUACCUUUGGAUCGAUUUCGCACAGGAACGCGUGCCGAUUGUGGCACUCCUCCACCUCCACGCUCUGGUACAGGAAGGAGGUGCAGCGAUCGAUGUAGUUCGCAUCCUGCACCCAAACCCGCUCAUAGUUGCGCAGAUAGCGUGACUGCUGCUCGAUAAACAUCCACAGCGCGUUGGCAUCGCCACUGAUGAACGGCAGCGAGGCAUUGUCCGAUCGGCAGAAGUCACGCGCCUCCCGGAAGCUCAUCGGUGCACCGACGUACAUGUAGCAGGUAUCGAUGAGCAGUGUCCAGCCGGGCGGGCACUUCCCGUCCAGCACCGUCAGAUUGUUCAUGUGCAGCGGCAGGAAGGACACCUCCAGCAGCUGCGGAUCGUCGAAGCGAUCGCGGAUGCGCGAGCUAACCGCGAGCGUUUCGUUGUAGCUCCAGUAGUUGUGCCGGGCGUCGAUUUUCGUCUUCCACACGUCCAGCGUGCUGUUGAGAGGGGUGCAGUAAUGCGUUUAGUAAUUGUGAUUUUGAUUAAUUUACGUCUAAAUACACACACGAUUGCUAAGAAACUAUGAAGUAAGCGAGCCAACACCAAUUUGCGAAUGAGCGAAACAAACAAAAAACAGUAAAUAUACACAACUGCACCUUACCUAUUCCAGUACUGGAAGUCAAUUCUGCCAGGACGCACGAUUGACGCACGGUUAGCGCAGAGUUGCAGCAGUUGCAGGAGUGGGUUGGAGGUUUUGUUUUUUUUUUUAGAGAAAUACAGACAGGGAAGGAGUAAGAGAAAUAACGAUCAUCAAAAUAGCAUGCAAAUUUGGAACAAAUAAAUACAAACAAACAAACGCCAAAA